ACGGAAGGCAGCAGUGGGGAAUAUUGCACAAUGGGGGAAACCCUGAUGCAGCAACGCCGCGUGAGUGAAGAAGUAUUUCGGUAUGUAAAGCUCUAUCAGCAGGGAAGAUAAUGACGGUACCUGACUAAGAAGCUCCGGCUAAAUACGUGCCAGCAGCCGCGGUAAUACGUAUGGAGCAAGCGUUAUCCGGAUUUACUGGGUGUAAAGGGUGUGUAGGCGGCGAAGUAAGUCAGAAGUGAAAGACCGGGGCUCAACUCCGGGGCUGCUUUUGAAACUGCAUUGCUGGAGUCCAGGAGAGGCAGGCGGAAUUCCUAGUGUAGCGGUGAAAUGCGUAGAUAUUGGGAGGAACACCAGUGGCGAAGGCGACUAACUGGACUGUAACUGACGCUGAGGCGCGAAAGUGUGGGGAGCAAACAGGAUUAGAUACCCUGGUA
rnacentral:rRNA from 1 species